CAGUCGUACCGGCGGAUAAUCAGCCUUUCGGGUGCGAUUCUGUGGGGCGUGAGGAGUUUAAUCACCCUCAUGUUUUACGUAUUCGUGCUCUUGGGUUACUUGCCCGUGUGGUAGGUUAACAUCAAUUUUGGCGUCAUUAAAUGACUGGAGGAAUGUAGCUUU
rnacentral:rRNA from 1 species